GACGAACGCUGGCGGCGUGCUUAACACAUGCAAGUCGAACGGUGAAGCGAGUGCUUGCACUCGUGGAUCAGUGGCGAACGGGUGAGUAACACGUGAGUAACCUGCCCAUCACUCUGGGAUAAGCACUGGAAACGGUGUCUAAUACUGGAUACGACCAACCCUUGCAUGGGGUGUUGGUGGAAAGAUUUAUCGGUGAUGGAUGGACUCGCGGCCUAUCAGCUUGUUGGCGGGGUAAUGGCCCACCAAGGCGACGACGGGUAGCUGGCCUGAGAGGGUGACCGGCCACACUGGGACUGAGACACGGCCCAGACUCCUACGGGAGGCAGCAGUGGGGAAUAUUGCACCAUGGGCGAAAGCCUGAUGCAGCGACGCCGCGUGAGGGAUGACGGCCUUCGGGUUGUAAACCUCUUUCAGCAGGGAAGAAGCGAAAGUGACGGUACCUGCAGAAGAAGCACCGGCUAACUACGUG
rnacentral:rRNA from 1 species